ACGCCGGUGGUGAAACGGUUAUCAUCUUCGCCUUCCAGGUUCUGCAAGGAGCCGAGUAAGCGAAGGGCAGGGGUUCGACUCCCCUCCGGCGUA